rnacentral:rRNA from 1 species
UGGGGAUGCGUCUGAUUAGGUGUUGCGGGUAACGGCCACCAAGCCUACGAUCAGUAGGGGUUCUGAGAGGAAGGUCCCCCACAUUGGUACUGAGACACGGACCAAACUCCUACGGGAGGCAGCAGGUGAGGAAUAUUGGUCAAUGGGCGAGAGCCUGAACCAGCCAAGUAGCGUGCAGGAUGACUGCCCUAUGGGUUGUAAACUGCUUUUAUAGGGGAAUAAAGUGAGGUAUGCAUACCUUUUUGUAUGUACCCUAUGAAUAACGGACCGGCUAAUUCCGUGCC